UACGUAGGGUGCGAGCGUUAAUCGGAAUUACUGGGCGUAAAGCGUGCGCAGGCGGUUCGUUAAGUCAGAUGUGAAAGCCCCGGGCUCAACCUGGGAGGCGGGUGGAUACUGCUGAGCUCGAGUCCGGAAGAGGCGAGUGGAAUUCCUGGUGUAGCGGUGAAAUGCGCAGAUAUCAGGAGGAACACCAAUGGCGAAGGCAGCUCGCUGGGACGGUACUGACGCUGAGACGCGAAAGCGUGGGGAGCAAACAGG
rnacentral:rRNA from 1 species